AGUGACGAUAGCCUAGGAGAUACACCUGUACCCAUGCCGAACACAGCAGUUAAGCCCUAGAACGCCGGAAGUAGUUGGGGGUUGCCCCCUGUGAGAU
rnacentral:rRNA from 1 species